AAGAGGCGAGAACGACCCCUGGACAGACCAACACCUGCGUGCCGCGCUGCAUCCCGCACCCAGCGCCUAUGUCCCCCCGCCGUUGCCGCCACCACAGUGCCCAAGAGAAAGGCUGAAGGUGAUGCUAAAGCAGAUAGAGCCAAGAUGAAGGACAAACCACAGAGAAGAUCCACGAGGUUUUCUACUAAACCUGCUCCUCCAAAGCCGGAGCCCAAACCUAAAAAGGCCCCUGCAAAGAAGGGAGAGAAGGUACCAAAAGGGAAAAGGGAAAAGCUGAGGCUGGCCAGGAGGGGAAUAACCCUGCAGAAAAUGGAGAUGCCCAAACAGACCAGACACAGAAAGCUGAAGGUGCUGCAGAUGCCAAGUGAAGUGUGUGCAUUUUUGAUAACUGUGUACUUCUGGUGA
rnacentral:lncRNA from 1 species